rnacentral:rRNA from 1 species
UACAGAGGUCUCAAGCGUUGUUCGGAUUCAUUGGGCGUAAAGGGUGCGUAGGUGGCGCCGUAAGUCAGGUGUGAAAUUUCGGAGCUUAACUCCGAAACUGCAUUUGAUACUACGGUGCUUGAGGACUGGAGAGGAGACUGGAAUUUACGGUGUAGCAGUGAAAUGCGUAGAGAUCGUAAGGAAGACCAGUGGCGAAGGCGGGUCUCUGGACAGUUCCUGACACUGAGGCACGAAGGCCAGGGGAGCAAACGGG